rnacentral:rRNA from 1 species
CCCUAGUAACUGCGAGUGAAGCGGGAAAAGCUCAAAUUUAAAAUCUGGCGGUCUUUGGCCGUCCGAGUUGUAGUCUGGAGAAGUGCUUUCCGCGCUGGACCGUGUAUAAGUCUCUUGGAACAGAGCGUCAUAGAGGGUGAGAAUCCCGUCUUUGACACGGACUACCAGUGCUUUGUGAUGCGCUCUCAAAGAGUCGAGUUGUUUGGGAAUGCAGCUCAAAAUGGGUGGUGAAUUCCAUCUAAAGCUAAAUAUUGGCGAGAGACCGAUAGCGAACAAGUACCGUGAGGGAAAGAUGAAAAGCACUUUGGAAAGAGAGUUAAACAGUACGUGAAAUUGCUGAAAGGGAAACGCUUGAAGUCAGUCGCGUCGUCCGGAACUCAGCCUCGCUUUCGCUUGGUGCACUUUCCGGAUGACGGGUCAGCAUCGAUUUUGACCGUCGGAAAAGGGCUGGAGUAAUGUGGCACCUCCGGGUGUGUUAUAGACUCUGGUCGCAUACGGCGGUUGGGAUCGAGGAACGCAGCGCGCCGCAAGGCAGGGGUUCGCCCACUUUCGCGCUUAGGAUGCUGGCAUAAUGGCUUUAAACGACCCGUCUUGAAACACGGACCAAGGAGUCUAACAUACCUGCGAGUGUUUGGGUGGAAAACCCGAGCGCGUAAUGAAAGUGAAAGUUGAGAUCCCUGUCGUGGGGAGCACCGACGCCCGGACCUGACGUUCUCUGACGGAUCCGCGGUAGAGCAUGUAUGUUGGGACCCGAAAGAUGGUGAACUAUGCCUGAAUAGGGUGAAGCCAGAGGAAACUCUGGUGGAGGCUCGUAGCGAUUCUGACGUGCAAAUCGAUCGUCAAAUUUGGGUAUAGG